GUGUCAGCAGCCGCGGUAAUACAGAGGCCUCGAGCGUUAGGCGGAAUCACUGGGCUUAAAGCGCGUGUAGGCGGAUCGUUAAGUGUCUUGUGAAAUCCCACGGCUCAACCGUGGAACUGCUGGGCAUACUGGCGAUCUUGGGCCACUCAGGGGCAACCGGAACAAGCGGUGGAGCGGUGAAAUGCGUAGAUAUCGCUUGGAACGCCAAAGGUGAAGACAGGUUGCUGGGGGUGUGCCGACGCUGAGACGCGAAAGCCAGGGGAGCAAACGGGAUUAGAAACCCCUGUAGUCC
rnacentral:rRNA from 1 species